rnacentral:rRNA from 1 species
AUUGAACGCUGGCGGCAGGCCUAACACAUGCAAGUCGAACGAGUGGCGGACGGGUGAGUAAUGUCUGGGAAACUGCCUGAUGGAGGGGGAUAACUACUGGAAACGGUAGCUAAUACCGCAUACCAUCGGAUGUGCCCAGAUGGGAUUAGCUGGUUGGUGGGGUAAAGGAUCACCUAGGCGACGAUCCCUAGCUGGUCUGAGAGGAUGACCGGCCAGAAUGGAACGGAGAGACGGACCAAACUCCUCCGGGAGGCAGCAGGGGGGGAUAUUGCACGAUGGGCGCAAGCCGGAUGCAGCCAUGGCGGGUGUAUGAAGAAGGCCUUCGGGUUGGAAAGUACUUUCAGCGGGGAAGCGUUACCCGCAGAAGAAGAACCGGCUAACUCCGUGCCAGCAGCCGCGGUAAUAC